rnacentral:misc_RNA from 1 species
AAAGUCGUAACAAGGUUUCCGUAGGUGAACCUGCGGAAGGAUCAUUAACUAAUGUUGGUGGGUGUUAUACCCACCAUUAACCUUUGUGAAUUGGCCGAGAUUAGUAUAAUCUCAGUCUACCUAGAAAUUUAAAGAGUCUAAUUUAUUAACAACAUUAAUAAUACAACUUUUAACAAUGGAUCUCUAGGCUCUU